rnacentral:rRNA from 1 species
AUUGAACGCUGGCGGCAGGCCUAACACAUGCAAGUCGAACGAGUGGCGGACGGGGGAGUAAUGUCUGGGAGACUGCCCGAUGGAGAGGGGGAACAACUGGAAACGGUAGAGAAAACCCCAUAUCAUCGGAUGUGCCCAGAUGGGAUUAGCUUGUAGGUGAGGUAACGGCUCACCGAGGCGCCGAUCCCUAGCUGGGCUGAGAGGAUGACCAGCCACACUGGAACUGUGACACGGUCCAGACUCCUACGGGAGGCAGCAGUGGGGAAUAUUGCACAAUGGGCGCAAGCCUGAUGCAGCCAUGCCGCGUGUAUGAAGAAGGCCUUCGGGUUGUAAAGUACUUUCAGCGGGGAGGCGUUACCCGCAGAAGAAGCACCGGCUAACUCCGUGCCAGCAGCCGCGGUAAUUC